GUUUUCGAAUGUAUUUCUCCUGUAAAUGAGUUUUCACGUGUCUCGCGUCGCAUUAGAAUUGCUCUGCUUGUGUUUUCAUACCAGGUAAUAAAUAUCCUACAGCUGGUAAAACUGAGGUCACCUGAGGAAUGUUUGCUGUGCCUGGGAGGAAUGAAGGGCGAAAUAACCCGAGAUACAGCUCCAGCUGCACAAGUGUGAAUGACUCCAAAAAUGGAGAAGUGGAGAUCCCACCUCACAGUGAUGAUGCCGUCUGA
rnacentral:lncRNA from 12 species